rnacentral:rRNA from 1 species
AUUGAACGCUGGCGGCAGGCCUAACACAUGCAAGUCGAGCGGAUGAAGGGAGCUUGCUCCUGGAUUCAGCGGCGGACGGGUGAGUAAUGCCUAGGAAUCUGCCUGGUAGUGGGGGAUAACGUCCGGAAACGGGCGCUAAUACCGCAUACGUCCUGAGGGAGAAAGUGGGGGAUCUUCGGACCUCACGCUCUCAGAUGAGCCUAGGUCGGAUUAGCUAGUUGGUGGGGUAAAGGCCUACCAAGGCGACGAUCCGUAACUGGUCUGAGAGGAUGAUCAGUCACACUGGAACUGAGACACGGUCCAGACUCCUACGGGAGGCAGCAGUGGGGAAUAUUGGACAAUGGGCGAAAGCCUGAUCCAGCCAUGCCGCGUGUGUGAAGAAGGUCUUCGGAUUGUAAAGCACUUUAAGUGGGGAGGAAGGGCAGUAAGUUAAUACCUUGCUGUUUUGACGUUACCAACAGAAUAAGCACCGGCUAACUUCGUG